AAUAUCUGAGAUCCGUUAAAGAAAUAAAACGAGCAGACGAUGGCACAACUGUUCUGCUCUACACAAAAAAAAAAAAAAUGCACGGAGUUAGCUUUGUGGCUAACAUGCUAAUCCCGGAAGAGGAGGGACCGUCAGACGGAAGCGCUAUUUGAUCGCCUCUCCUGGAGAUUCAGGUUCAUUUCAGGCAGAAUGAAGAGAGAACCAGACCUCUGUGGCAUUCAGCAGAUUAUUAUUUUUCAAAGAAUACAACACGGCAGCAAGAAAAAUGCAGAAGCUCACCUGUUUCCAAGAAGCAGAACCGCUGAGACGUGACACCGGGCGUUGAGGCUGAUUUGGAUGCAGAGAAAGAAGAAUGAACGGGCUGAAUUCAGUCCAAGGACGAUGUGAUAAUCCUGAGAUCAAAGCGAGAGUGGGACAGCUGGGAGCAAUGUCAAAAAUUUGUGCCAUCUGGAUGAAGAUUUGCUGUUUCAGAUGAAGGUGUUCAUUGACUAGGUGGUCUUAAGAGCAGGUAACGAUGAAGAGACUGAACAUUUGAACCAGCUGGAUGAAGAUUUGCUGUUUUAUUUGGGUCUAACCAGCUGCAGGGAGCAAUGUAGAAUAUUUGAACGAACUGGAUGAAGAUUUGUGGUUUCAGAUGAAGUUUUUCAUUGACCAGCUGGGUUUGAGAGCAGUUCAUUUUCAACUCUACAAAGACGACAGCCGUCCUGCUGAUGAUCGGGUUUCUGUAACGGUGUCUCAACACAUUUUUAUUUAUUUUUUUUGAUAUAUUUCUGCUGCCUUCGAGCUGACAGAACAAACCAGAGUGAGGCCACUUCCAGUUGAUGGGACCCGUCAUUUAUUUUGUCAUGUUGGAUUUGCUGAAUAAACAGUAACUAAUUCUUGAAUGCUCAUGUUUGGUGUUGUAAUUCUACUGUAAAUUAUUUUUAUGUGGUUUUGGGGGGAAUAUUCACAAAAUUGUAUUAAACACUUAAAGGUGGUGAUUUAAUGGUGUAUUUGGACAAAAAUCUACUUGUUCCAAGCAGAUUUAUAGACAAUCCAAUAAUUAGUUGUUAUUUUUUACCAGCAUUCCAACAUGCCAGUUUUUCAUGCUUGAAGAAAAACAUGUAGUCAGUGUCAUGGUCGAGCAUUUCCACCUUCAAACUGCAGCGUAUUGACAAAAUUCUCAGAGAUUCAGACUUGCCUUGUUAACAUGGUAUUUCUAUGCUGGAAGACAUUAAAAAAAAAAAACAUGCAGUCAUUGUCAUGACUGAGCAUUUCCACCUUGAAACUGCAGCGUACGUAAAGAUUCUCAGAUAUUCAGACUUUGAGGUGCUCUUCUAUAUUACUUGUCUUCAGAAUCUGUCUCCGACUGGAGUAUUUAUGGCUUGUAAAGGGUUUUACAGUGUUUGAGUCAGAGGUGAGCUGGUGUGCUAAGACUGCAGCCAGUGGAGAGAUGUGGGUGUAGAAGGAAGUUGAGACUUUGUAGAAGUCGCAACGCCAUUUUGUUUUCUUUUUUUAAUGCACACUGCCUGUCCAAAAAAAAGUCGCCACCUGGAUUUUUUAUUUUUUUUUAUCACAGAUUGUGAGUUUGGAAGCAGGUUGUUCAGCAUUUUAUUGCUAUUGUGUGUCUGUUACUGUGCUGUUCUGACCUGUCGAUGCAAAUUAGUCAGAAUCUGUAAACUACAAUGACAUUUACAUUAAAAAUAAAUGGUUGUAAUAGAUAAUAGAGUCGUGCCAUUGAGCUUAUCACUUGUUAUAAAGUAUUCAGUAUCUUCCAUGCAUGUUUUUUCGUCCUUUUCAUUGCAUUUUUAUCGCAGAUUGUGACUUUAAAUUGGGUUUGAAAGCAGGUUGUUCAGCAUUUUGUUGCUACAGUAUAUGUACUGCCUGUUAUUGUGUUGUUUGGACUUGGAGAGGGACUGUAGAUGUAAAUUAGCUACAAGUUGUAAACUGGUG
ensembl:lncRNA